GAUGAACGCUGGCGGCGUGCCUAAUACAUGCAAGUCGAGCGAACAGACGAGGAGCUUGCUCCUCUGACGUUAGCGGCGGACGGGUGAGUAACACGUGGAUAACCUACCUAUAAGACUGGGAUAACUUCGGGAAACCGGAGCUAAUACCGGAUAAUAUAUUGAACCGCAUGGUUCAAUAGUGAAAGACGGUUUUGCUGUCACUUAUAGAUGGAUCCGCGCCGCAUUAGCUAGUUGGUAAGGUAACGGCUUACCAAGGCAACGAUGCGUAGCCGACCUGAGAGGGUGAUCGGCCACACGGGAACUGAGACACGGUCCAGACUCCUACGGGAGGCAGCAGUAGGGAAUCUUCCGCAAUGGGCGAAAGCUUGACGGAGCAACGCCGCGUGAGUGAUGAAGGUCUUCGGAUCGUAAAACUCUGUUACUAGGGAAGAACAAAUGUGUAAGUAACUAUGCACGUCUUGACGGUACCUAAUCAGAAAGCCACGGCUAACUACGUG
rnacentral:rRNA from 1 species